CUGCAUCGGAACCUAUAAAUUUCUUAGUUAGAGCAAAAGGCGAACGUAUGUAAUCAGACACGGCAUCAGAAACCAGAAAUUUCUUUUUUUGAGAAUAAAGGUUAUUGAUAUUUGUGGAAAGAAAAGUUAGUAGUUCCAUUGCUUAGGGGGUAGACUGCGAUUUGUAUAGAAAUGAAUGGGGAGGAGAGUUUCUGGGUUAGGAAGAGAAUCAAGAGGAUGCGAGAAAGUAGAAACGAAGAGUGUAAUGAGAUAUGAGAAGGGAACACACAAUUAAGAGUA